CCCAGCUCUGCCCCGAGGAAGGUAGCUCUGUGCUGAACACCAGGAGUGAACGCAAAUCAAAAUCAGUUUCCUCUCAGACACCUCCUAGACAAGAAUGGAAGGAGUUGGCACAACAUGAAACCUGGAUCCAUAAAUACAGUUGC
rnacentral:lncRNA from 1 species